CGAGGAAGAGGUGGGCUGUGUGAGGGAACCAGUAGCCGGAAGUCCAAGAUAAGUGGUAUUGCCGAAGCAAGAGAAACCGAGGCAACGAUGCUCAAGGAGGAGCAGGAAUAGGUGCAAGGCCGAGAGGAAGGCAGAGUCACCUAGCCACAUGGAUAGAAAAGGCACUGAAGCACAGAGAAAGGCAGAAGGCAACAGGUCGCAUGGACAUGGGAGAGGUCCAAGGCGGCAAGGGAAAUUCAGAGGCAAAUUUGACUGGGUAGGUCAAUUGGCCAAUUUAGUGGCAAACAGACUGAAGUUGCUGGAUGGGAAGCAAGCCAAUCAAGUGUUGAAGAUUGGUCAGUCGGGAAAUGCCAUGGGCUCAGGGGGCAAAAGGCGAGGUUCACUGCCUAGGUGG
rnacentral:misc_RNA from 1 species